CCUUUUCCCUUUUCCCUACUCUGUCAUAUUUAUAAUGUAAUUUAGGAAAUGUCUGUCAGUGGAAAAUGUUUCUUCAUUUUCCUUUAAAUCUUGGGGAAACAUGUGAUUUUAUUUUUAAGUGCUCUAUAAGUGUCGAAUGAGGUACGUACUAUUAAGUUUGUGAAAUUUAGAAAAUGUAAGUGUAUGUCUGAGUAAAUUUGCUUGGCCACCAAAAAAGGUAGUAAAUUUGCUAAUGCUGUGCAAGAUUGACAUAUUUUUAGUGAUUUAUUUACUGUAUUAAAUUGAAUAUGAAUUUAGAGUGUAUUUAUAUACUAUAUUUAUAGCCAUUUUAUCAUCCUGUAUACUGGCUGCUCUUCGUAUUCAUUCGAUUGACUUAUGCUGAAGUUACUAAAUGAUGACAAUAAGUUUUGAAUGUCAAAUACAUCUCAAGGCAUAGUUUUAAUUUCUUUAUGCCCCCUCCACUUUUUUCGGGCAUGGGACCGGCAUUGGCAGUGUUAGGCCCCCCCUACCCAUAUUAUUAUUCAAAAAACUUAAGAAUUAAUUAGUACAUUUGUGAUUAGCUAUAGUUUUAAUAAUUUUAAAAGAAAAAGGAAGAUUAAAUCAGGUCUGAUUGCAUUCUACAUAUUAAAUAUAAAAAAUGUCCCGACGCUCUCACUAUUGCUUUGCACUAAAUAAUAAGCCUGAAGAAUCAGAUAUCACAUAAUAUAGUCAAUGUUUUGUAGCAAUGAACUAUUUCCACCAAAUGUCGAUUCGUGUUUGCGAUACAUCGGCACUGUUGGAGACCAUAUUUGUCCUGCCAUAUCAUGUGAGCAUAGUGAAGUCGCUUUGUAUUUUUCAUGAUAGUUUGCAAUGUACUAAAUUUCUAUAUGUAUGCAAUUCUUAUGUAAUAGGCCGCCUCAGCUAGUGAAAGAAGUGUCAUGCUGAAAUUUUGUUAUUUUUUCAUACCUUUACAAUAUUUGUACUAAAUCAACAACAACUAAAUGGAACGGAUGGAGUACAUUCUUGACCACAUCAUCCUCAUUGCUAUCUUCAUCAUUUAUCAUUACCUGCAGUCCAUCCCUUUUUUGUGACUCUUGAGAAGGCUACGUAUAGUUGUCCAUGUGUGAAAACUUGUUUAGGUAGAAAUAGUUCUACCUUGUUUAGAGAUUGCCCCUUGCUUUUCUUGAUAGUCAUAGCAGAGCAAACCGAUAUUGGAUAUUGUCUCCUUUUUUAGAACGAACGGCCAUGUGGAUUCAGUUGGUGACAUGACUAUUCUUGGAAUAUAUAUACCAUUUCUCCCACAUGUGUUCCUGUUGUUAUCUGUGCUUUGAUGAAUUUUCUUCCAAGUUAAAAUUAUCAUCCUUGUACAAUUGCAUAACCCAUCACUUUGCUUGAUAUUACAUAGGAGCAUCACAUGUAUUUCCACUUUUAAUUCGAGCUUGUGAUUUAGGAUUCCAUGAAAUUGUAAGCUAUUCAGUAACUCUGCUGGAUAUAACAUUUCCGUUUAUGCAUUUAAGGUUGUUGCCUUGCAUACUGUGUUGCAGUUUAAAUAAAUUUUCUCUUCACCUUGUAGUUGAUCCAUUAUAUAAUCAUUUAUAUCGUAAAUUGUUUCGUUCCUUGGACAUAAUAUUGCUCUUUCUUCUGAGAAAUAUCGCUUGCGAUAGUACCUCCCCUGCAAAUUUGGAUAUGCUUUCCACAUUUUUUUUAUUAUUUCCUUUCUUUAGUAGUAUGGCACUUGGUAUUUUUAUCAUCUCCUCACCUUCUGAUGUUGUAUUUUUUUCCAUCACUAAUAUUCAGAAUCCACUCUGUGAAUUUUGCUACCUUUGUUUCUCUGAUUCAUCAUGUGUUGUGCAGUUGAGUCGCAUGCUCUUUGUUAGUUUCAUUAUAUGAAUGUCCCUCUCUUUUCAAUACAGAGAAACGCAAAGUCUUCUUGCGUUUUCUCAAAAAAUUAUAUGAAUGUCCCUCCAAAGAUAUGACCUUUUAAUGGAUGCAGUUACUAUGUUGUGUCUUCUUCCCUUUGGUAUAACAGAAAGGAUCUGGCAGAAGUCCCCUCCUAGAACCAUUGUCAUGCCCCCGAAUGGUCGCUCAAUGUUGUUCACAUUUUUAUGCCUUAAUAUAUCCCUGAGAGUCCUGUCUAGCGCUUCAAAAUAUAUCUUGUUUGCCAUUGGAGCCUCGUCCCAUAGUAUUAGCGACAUCUUUUUUAGUGUGUCUAUCAAGUGUGAACCUUGUUUGAUGUCACAGGUUGACUCUUCUUUAAGAAUUAGGUGGAUGUGGAACCUUGAGUGUGCCGUUCCAUCUUUGUGUAGAAGCAGCACUGCAAUAACACAUGACACCACUUCUGUUGAGCAAGGCUAUAAUUCUGUGAAGAUGGUACUUACUGGAGGUGGUUUGAUCGCUCAACUGAGCCGAUUGCAGUUGAGGCGAGUCAACAGGAGAAUGGGCCAUUGGAGGGCUGGUUGCCGCUGGAGGAAGACAAUGUCAAAGUGCCACUUGUUGGAUAUGCGGGGUGAUCUGAAGUCAGACAGGACAAUCAAUAAUUGACGCUUUUUAAAGGGAAGGUAUUUUAGGUUGGCUGAGUUAUUUGACAUGUGCACGACGGAAAGAGAGAUUGUUUCGAUCGUGAGAGUUUUGUUCUAUUUGUAGACAGAUUUUAUCUCUUUACACGAUCGUGAGAGGUUGGUUAUAUUUUGAAAAAGGGAAAUGUUUAUAUACGGCGGACCGGCCGAGCGUUCGGCCGGUCGCGCCGCGUGCGUCCGAUUGUAGCAGAUCGUACGAUUACGAGACAGGUUACCUGGCAUUGGGCCCAUGCACCGCUCCGCGCGUCGCCCUCCCCUCCCCUCCCCUGCCUUAUCUCCUUACCAGCGCUCGACCUUAUCCAUUCAGUUUCCUCGUCCCAUUUCUCUCAUCUCUAGAAAUCAACCCCAAAAUCGCAACGAGCACGAGCCCCAAAUCCCGACGACUACUGUUGCCACAAAUUCCAGCAACGCCGGUGACCUCCUCUAGCCCAACGACCUCCACGUCCCCAUCCUCCGUCUCUUGUUCCAAGCCCCACGGCGGCCGCUCAUCCAUCAGCGCGACCAUGCGGCAACCAGCGCUCGUCGCCAUGGCCGACCGCAGCUGGUUGCGCUCCUGUCCAUGGCCGCCGCCGCAGGAUUUGCUACAAGCAUGCUUUGUUUUUUCAGGAACCAGCCCAUGUAUUUGCUAUCACCCACCCAUCCAAAAUCUGCUACCACGUUAGUUUUUGCUGGAACCGGUGAACCAUUUUGCUACAACCGUUUUGGUUUUUGUUACUACCGGUGUUUUGUGCAUUUAUGCUACAUCCAUCUCCAUGAUAUCGCUGUUUUUCCAGUCGAUUUUUUGCUACAACCAUGUUAUGAUUUUGUUGGAACCGAAGAUAAUUUUUGCUGGAACCGACUCAUAUUUUUGCUACCACCCACCCCGCCCAAAAUCUGCUCCCACCGUAUUUUUGCUGGAACCGGCUAACAAUUUUGCUACAACUAUGUUGUUUGUCGAAUUUUUGCUACAUCCCAUCUCCAUGAACAUGCGAGACCCACGACUGUGUCUUUUGAUGCAACCUUUUUGUCAGUUUUUGUUACCACAGGUAUUGAUGAUUGCUACAUUCAUUCUCACAAGAUGCCACAUCCCUGUUUUCUUCGGUCAAUUUUUUAUUGCUACAAUCAUGUUUGAUUUUGCUGGAACCGAAGUCAAUUUUUGCUACUUCCAUUCAUGGCGGCGUUGCUCAACGGUGGCGAUGGAUUUUUUUUUGGGAACCGGGGCUGCCCCCCGAAAGCGAGAAUGGAGUGGCGGUGAGCUUCGAGGCCGGCGUCGAGCUCGUCUAUGGCGGGGGAGGGGUGGGGUCAGCGGGGGCUCAGUCGUCGGCCGGAGGGUUCUUUCGCAUCUGGCGUGCGGCGGCGCGAGGUGGGAGAUGCGGGGAGGACAAAGAAAAAAAGGAGCUUGAUCAAACGGCUGAUAAGACGCGCAUCUGAUGGCUAGGGGUCGACCGGCCGAACGGUUCGGCCGGUGCGCCGGCGCCCAGCACUGCCCUUGUAUCUCUACACGACCGUGAGAGUUUGUUUCUAUUGAGAUUGUAUCCCUUAUUGCUUAAAAAAAGGAGAUUGUAUCCCUCGGUUUUUUAAUUAUUGGAAAUAUGCCAACUGAA